rnacentral:rRNA from 1 species
AUUCCAGCUCCAGUAGCGUAUAUUAAAGCUGUUGCAGUUAAAAAGCUCGUAGUUGGAUCUUGGGCCCAGGCCUGCGGUCCGCCGUGAGGCGAGUACUGCAGUCCUGGCCUUCCUCUCGGUUUUCGCCCGGUGCUCUUAACUGAGUGCCAGGAGAGGCCGGAACGUUUACUUUGAAAAAAUUGGAGUGUUCAAAGCAGGCCUCGCGCCUGAACAGCAGAGCAUGGAAUAAUGGAAUAGGACCUCGGUUCUAUUGCGUUGGUUUUCGGAACUCGAGGUAAUGAUUAAGAGGGACUGACGGGGGCAUUCGUAUUGCGGUGUGAGAGGUGAAAUUCUUGGAUCGCCGCAAGACGACCGACUGCGAAAGCAUUUGCCAAGAAUGUUUUCAUCG